CCUACGGGAGGCAGCAGUGAGGAAUAUUGGUCAAUGGGCGUAAGCCUGAACCAGCCAAGUCGCGUGAGGGAUGAAGGUUCUAUGGAUCGUAAACCUCUUUUAUAAGGGAAUAAAGUGUGGGACGUGUCCUAUUUUGUAUGUACCUUCUGAAUAAGGAUCGGCCAACUCCGUGCCAGCAGCCGCGGUAAUACGGAGGGUCCGACCGUUAUCCGGAUUUCUUGGGUUUAAAGGGUUCGUAGGCGGCCUUUUCAGGCAGCGGUGAAAGUCUGUGGCUCAACCAUCGAAUUGCCGUUGAAACUGGGGGGCUUGAGGAUGUUUGAGGCAGGCGGAAUGCGUGGUGUAGCGGUGAAAUGCUUAGAUAUCACGCAGAACCCCGAUUGCGAAGGCAGCCUGCCAAGCCAUGACUGACGCUGAUGCACGAAAGCGUGGGGAUCAAACAGGAUUAGAUACCCCAGUAGUC
rnacentral:rRNA from 1 species